rnacentral:rRNA from 1 species
GUCUAUGGCCAUACCACCCUGAACCCGCCUGAGUUUGUCUGAUCUCAGAAGCUAAGCAGGGUUGGGCCUGGUUAGUACUUGAAUGAAAGGCAGAUCUUCAGAAGAGACUGCUCAGAGACUAGCAAUUUGGAGACA